rnacentral:rRNA from 1 species
UACGUAGGGGGCAAGCGUUGUCCGGAAUCAUUGGGCGUAAAGAGCGUGUAGGCGGCCCGGUAAGUCCGCUGUAAAAGUCAAAGGCUCAACCUUUGAAUGUCAGUGGAUACUGCCGGGCUAGAGUCCGGAAGAGGCGAGUGGAACUCCUGGUGUAGCGGUGGAAUGCGCAGAUAUCAGGAAGAACACCAACGGCGAAGGCAGCUCGCUGGAACGGUACUGACGCUGAGGCGCGAAAGCGUGGGGAGCAAACAGG